rnacentral:rRNA from 1 species
UGGCUCAGAACGAACGGCUGGCGGCAGGCCUGAGGCAUGCAAGUCGAACGAGAAAGUGUAGCAAUACACGAGUAGAGUGGCGCACGGGUGAGUAAUGGUAUGGGAAUCUGCCCAGAAGUGGGGAAUAACAGUUGGGAACGACUGCUAAUACCGCAUACGCCGGAAACGGGAAAGAUUUAUCGCUUUUGGAUGAGCCCAUAUUGGAUUAGCUUGUUGGUGGGGUAAUGGCCUACCAAGGCAAUGAUCCAUAGCUGGUUUGAGAGAAUGAUCAGCCACACUGGAACUGAGACACGGUCCAGACUCCUACGGGAGGCAGCAGCUAGGAAUAUUGGACAAUGGGGGAAACCCUGAUCCCAGCCAUGCCGCGUGAGUGAAGAAGGCCUUCGGGUUGUAAAACUCUUUUAAUGGGGAAGAUGAUGACGGUACCCAUAGAAUAAGCACCGGCUAACUUCGUGCCAGCAGCCGC